AAGUCGUAACAAGGUUUCCGUAGGUGAACCUGCGGAAGGAUCAUUAGCGAGAGCCUGCCACGGAUGCAAGUCUGUGAGCAAGCGCGCCAUCCUUGUGUUGUGUGUGUUGCCUGUGCACCUGGCAAUGUCUGUGACAGCGUCGGUGUGCACACGCGCAUUUUCACCCAUUAUUCCCAUUUAUCUAAUGCAACUGCUCACACUGAGCACAAACAACCGAAAACUGCCAGCAAUGGAUCACUCGGUUCUC
rnacentral:misc_RNA from 1 species